AUGGUGCAAUUGUCACAUGGGUCUGAUGUAUUCCAAUGGAACCUCCAUGGGAAUGGACAAUUCUUAGUGGAUUCUAUGUAUAGAGCAUUAAUACAGUCCGAUGUGCCAGUUGUUAAUAACAAGAAGAUCUGGAAGAUGAAGAUACCUCUUAAGAAUAAAAUCUUUGCAUGGUAUCUUCGUCGCGAAGUCAUUCUUACUAAAGAUAACCUUAUUAAGAGAAAUUGGCAUGGAAGCCCGCAAUGUGUAUUUUGUCACCAUGAGGAGACAAUAAAACAUUUAUUCUUUCAAUGCAAAUUGGCUCGUUCUAUAUGGUCAAUCAUCCAAAUAGCUUCUGGCUUGUAUCCUCCAUGUAGUGUUGCUAAUGUAUUUCGCAACUGGUUACAUGGAUUGAUCACACGUUUAGAACUCUUCUCAAGGUGGGAGCUCUUGCCGUUAUUUGGUCGCUUUGGCUAUGUAGAAAUGAUAAGGUUUUUAACGAUAAAAGUACUUCUCUGUUGCAGGUUAUCUACAGAUGUACUGGGACUCUUCGUUUAUGGUCCUCUCUACAACGCGUGGAGAAUCGAGGCCUGUUUACGGAGGUGUGUACAUGAUUGGAGGCUACGAAGAGGGAUACUUUUACCCAACAUGGGUGGCAGCAUGAUCUAA
rnacentral:rRNA from 1 species